CCUANGGUGGGCUGCAGUCAAGAAUAUUCCCCAAUGCGCGAAAGCGUGAGGGAGCGACGCCGCGUGCCGGAAGAAGGCCUUCGGGUUGUAAACGGCUUUUGCAAGGGACGAACAUUUGACGGUACCUUGCGAAUAAGAGGUUGCUAACUCUGUGCCAGCAGCAGCGGUAAUACAGAGACCUCAAGCGUUAUCCGGAAUUAUUGGGCGUAAAGCGUCCGCAGACGGUUUAAUAAGUCAAUGGUCAAAUCCUGGGGCUCAACCCCAGACCUGCCGUUGAUACUGCUAAACUAGAGGCCGGUAGAGGCUAGUGGAAUUACUGGUGUAGGGGUAAAAUCCGUUAAUAUCAGUAAGAACACCAAAUGCGAAGGCAACUAGCUAGAACGGCCCUGACGUUCAGGGACGAAAGCGUGGGGAGCGAAUGGGAUUAGAUACCCGUNUANUC
rnacentral:rRNA from 1 species